GUCUCAGCACUAGUUGCAUGAACUGUAGACACUCUAGUGUCAGACGUGCCUCACCUCUGGUGACAUAUGCUUGUUGUCGAUCUGGACCCUAUCAGGCCCCCCCAUAUCACUCAAUUAAUGUUCACAUCACAACCUUAAGGUCAAGUAAGAUUACUCUCUAAGUUUAAGCAUAUCAAUAAACAGAGGAAAAGAAACUUACCAAGACUGCCAUAGUAAUGAUCACUGAACUAGGAAGAGCCCAGCUUAAGAAUUACGUGUCCUCGACAUCAAAUUGUAGUCUAGAGAAGUGUCCUUAAUGGCGAAACAUGCCUAAGUUCCUUAGAAAGGGGCACUAGAGAGGGUAAGAUUUUUGUUGUGCCAAAACAUUGUUAAACCACGAGGCACUAUUUGCAAGUCAGAUUGUUUGGGAAUGUAGCCUUAGUCAAAUGUGGAAUGACAAGAGUCGGUAAGCCAAUUAGCUCAGGGCAUGGACUGACACAAGUCAUGGUAGCGACCUAUGCUUGAGCUUUUGAUAGGCCUAUAGAGACAUCAUCAUCAUGAUCAUGGAAUGUAGCACAUACCAUCUCGACAUGACUCAACACUGACAUGCUCAUAACAUUGACCUACAAGCUCCCCAUCUAGCCUAUCUUGAAACAUGGACCAAGGAGUCUAACAUGUGUACAAGUUAAUGAGUUAGAAAACCCAUAACGUGUAAGGAAACUCAUUGGUAGGAUCCCUCAUGAGUGCACUACCAACCUACCUUGAUCUUUUGAGAAAGGUUCUAGUGUGAGCAUGCCUAUUGGGACCCAAAAGAUGGUGAACUAUGCCUAAGCAGGGCAAAGCUAGAGGAAACUCUUGUAGAGGCCCACAACGAUACUGAUGUGCAAAUUGUUCAUUUGACUUAGGUAUAGGGGCAAAAGACUAAUCAAACCAUUUAGUAGUUAGUUCCCUCUAAAGUUUCCCUCAGGUUAGCUAAAGCCCUUUGUGAGUUCUAUCGGGUAAAGCUAAUGAUUAAAGGCAUUGGGGUACAAUGCCCUCAACCUAUUCACAAACUUUAAAUAUGUAGGAUGAUGUGGCUACUUCAUUGAGCCACGCUAUGAAAUUGAAAGCUCCAAGUUGGCCAUUUUCGUAAGCAAAACUAGCAAUGUGGAAUAAACCAAAAGUCAAGUUACAAUUCCUAAUUGCACAUUAACCUAGAACUUGUAAAAGGUGUUGGUUGAUUAAGAUAGUAAGACAAUGGUCAUGAAAGUCAAAAUCUGCUAAGGAGUAUGUAACAACUCACCUACCAAAUCAACUAGCCCUAAAAAAGGAUGGCGCCUAAGCGCAUGACCUAUACUCAGUCAUCAGGGCAAGGGCUAGGUCUUAAUUAGUAGGAGGGCGUGAUGAUCACCAUAAAACUAGAACUAGGGGCACGAACCUAGGUGGAGCAACCAUCAGUGCAAAUCUUGAUGGUAGUAGCAAAUAUUCAAAUGAGAACUUUGUAGGCCAAAGAGGAGAAAGGUUCUAUGUGAAUGAUAGUUGCACAUGGGUUAGUCAAUCAUAAAAGAUGGGGGAAGCCCAUCUAACAGUGCAUCUAGUGCAAGCUUCAAAAGGGAAUCAAGUUAAAAUUCCUAAACUGGGAUGCAAUGACUAAUGACAAUGUUAGGAUGUCUGGAGAUGUCAGUAGGGGACUUGAGAAGAUUUAUCUUUUCUAUUUAAUGGCCUACCUACCUUGGAAAUGGCUCAGCCAAAGGUAAGGUCUAGCGAUGUGAAAAGCACUGUACAUUGUGUAGUGUCUGAUCACCUUUGAAAGCCCUUAAAAAUCUAGACAAUCAAGUACUAUCUAUGCCUAGUCGUACACACAACUGCAUAAGGUCUCCAAGGUGAAUAGCCUCUAGUCAAUAGAACAGUGUAGGCAUGAGAAAUUGACAAAAUGGAUUUGUAACCAUAAGAAAAAGAUUAGCUUUGAAGGCUAGGCACAUGGGUCCUAACCUCAAACCUAUCGGCUACUAGUGCAUUGCUUGGGUUACUCCCAUGGUAAAAGUAGGUCAUUACGUACUGGCUGAGGGAAAGACUGGGAAUGGUUCCCUCAGAGACCUUUCUCGAGUGAUGAAUAGUAAACUCAAAAUUGGUACAGACAAGGUCAAUCUGACUAUUUAAUUAAAAUAAAGUAAUGCUAUGGUCUUUGUGGAUGCUUACGUAAUGUGAUUUCUGCUAAGUGCUCUAAAUAAAAAGUAAAGAAACUUAACCAAGCAUUGGUAAACUGCAAGAGUAAUUAUGAUUCUCUUAAGGUAGCCAAAUGCCUCAUCACCUAAUCCACUAUCACUGUCUACUAUCUAGUGAAACCAUAGCCAAGGGAACAGGCAUGAUAAAAUCAACAAGGAAAGAAGACCAUGUUAAGCUUGACUUUAGUCUCACUUUAUGGAAUGACUUGAAAGGUAUAGAAUAAGUGGGAGCUCUCAGGUGAAAUUGAAAUACCAUUACUUUUAAAGUUAUUUUACUUAUUCCAUGAAGCGAAGGUGGGGCAUGACCUUUUUUUUUGGACCCAAGGCUACUCUUGAUCGAUCGAUCGUAAUAAAAGAUAAUGUCUAGUGAAAAGUUUGGUUGGGGCAGCCCAUCUGUUAAAAGAUAAUACAGGUGUCCUAAGAUAAGCUCAAUGAGAACAGAAAUCUCAUGUGGAACAAAAGGGUGAAAACUCAUUUGAUUUUGAUUUCAAGUACGAAUACAAACCAUGAAAGUGUGGCCUAUCAAUCCUUUAGACCUUCAAAAUUUAAAGCUAGAGGUGUCAGAAAAGUUACUACAAGGAUAAUUGGCUUGUGGCAACCAAGCAUUCAUAGCAAUGUUACUUUUUGAUCCUUCAAUGUCAGCUUUUCUUAUCAUUAUGAAGUAGAAUUCACCAAGUGUUGGAUUGUUUACCUACCAAUAGGGAAUGUGAGCUAGGUUUAGACCAUCAUGAAAUAGGUUAGUUUUACCCUACUGAUGGCAUCGUCGUAAUAGCAAUUCAACCUAGUAUGCAAAGAACCAUUGAUCAACACAAUUGGUCAUCAUGCUUGGUUGAAAAGCCAAUGGCGUAAAGCUACUUCACAUUGGAUUGUGACUAAAAGCCUUUACAUUAAAAUUUGAACUAGAAGUAACACAUGUGCCUGUCGCUCCAUUGUCAGCUUCCAGUAGGGGCCCAUAACAAUAGCACAUGUCAUAGGUGCAGCCGUUGCGGUAGACAAGCCAUGUGGGCCUCAUUGGUAUUCAAUUCCCAUUGAAUGGCAGGUAGAAUC
rnacentral:rRNA from 1 species